rnacentral:snRNA from 1 species
GUAUUAGUACAGUAUCGUAGCCAAUGAGGUUAAUCCGAGGCGCGAUUAUUGCUAAUUGAAAACUUUUCCUUUGCUCCAGUGUACACUGUAUUAAAUGAACAAUGACCAAGGCAAAAGUCUUGCAAUAAAUAGAAAUCUUCUAAAGGA